rnacentral:rRNA from 1 species
AGAACGAACGCUGGCGGCAUGCCUAAUACAUGCAAGUCGAACGAACUCUUCGGAGUUAGUGGCGCACGGGUGCGUAACGCGUGGGAAUCUGCCCCUUGGUUCGGAAUAACAGUUGGAAACGACUGCUAAUACCGGAUGAUGACGAAAGUCCAAAGAUUUAUCGCCAAGGGAUGAGCCCGCGUAGGAUUAGCUAGUUGGUGAGGUAAAGGCUCACCAAGGCAACGAUCCUUAGCUGGUCUGAGAGGAUGAUCAGCCACACUGGGACUGAGACACGGCCCAGACUCCUACGGGAGGCAGCAGUAGGGAAUAUUGGACAAUGGGCGAAAGCCUGAUCCAGCAAUGCCGCGUGAGUGAUGAAGGCCGUUAGGGUUGUAAAGCUCUUUUACCCGAGAUGAUAAUGACAGUAUCGGAGAAUAAGCCCCCGGCCUAACUCCGUGCCAGCAGCCGC